GCAAACUGGAGAUUCCCUUUCACGUCCACGUUGCCAAAAUCUCCACUGUACACGCUCAUCACACUGGUGCUCACCUGCAGAUGUCCGAAAGGAAGAGAAUAAAUGCUUUUUAAAAGGUAAGCAGAAAUCAUUAAGAGGACUCAUGCAAAGAAUAACUUUAUACAGCGGAUCCAGCAGAAAAUAUUUCACCUGCACCUCUCUUCAAAUUCUACUACACUGGUACCUUGAUACUCAACUGCUUUGGAACUCAUCAAGAGAUUAAAAACUUGCCUCAUCUUGAAGAAAUGCUGGGACCGAUUUGCUCAUCAUCUUAAUUUUUUCCGGACGCGAAAACUGACUGUCAGAGAAAGAAGGUGCUGUGGAAACUAAAAAGCAGCAAUUCACAUGGAGAAAAGCUAAUUAGAUUCUAGUCUUGCUAAAAAGAUUGACUCAUAAAAGUGUUCUUGGAAGAAAAAAAAAACCCCAAAACAUGCUUGAAAAACAUGUGCGUGCAAGUUACGUUUAAUAAAACCAGCAAAGUUUGCUGCAAAGAAGCUCAAAGAACUAACGUAAUUCAUGAUCUAUAAAAGUCCUUUCUGGGAUUUCAAAUCUCCUCUAAAAUAAGGAAUUUUUGCCAUUUCUCCAUUCCUACAACUACAAUAAUAUAGGUCCACAAGAAUUCUCCCAUGAGAUAUAAGCAAAGCUACAUGAGAUGGUGCUUAAGAGAUAAUUUAUACCAGAGCUUACAUUUUAUAUAAAUCAAGGAUUUGUGGCAAACCUGGUUUAUAAAUAAAUUUACCAAUGGGUUCAUUCAAUUUAUCCAUGUAUUAAACAGUUACCAAUAUCCCUCUGUGUGAAAAAAAAAGUGCCUCUAUCGAAUUGAAUAUUAUCACGAGAUUAUCUGACUUCUACUCUUCCUUGUCGACGUUCAACACCCUUCUUAAAUCAGGAUCUUUUGAAUGUAAUGGACUAAAUUUAAAGAUUUUACCAGAAAAUUGAAGUUGCGGAUGAUCAGACAAGGAAGGUACAGAGGAAGUUUAAGACCAGACGUUUUCAGACGUUUAUUAUUAUUUUUAACCACAUUUUUAAGGACUAUUUCCUGCUUCAAAACAUCAGAAAAAUGGGAUGCUAACCUUCAUCAUGAUACACUGAAGAUUAAAUUUAAAUGUUAACUGCAUCCCAGUACAGGUAAUCCUUAAUUUACAACCACAGUUGGGACCAGAAUUUUUGUGGCUAAGCAAGGAGGUUAAGUGAGUCACGCCUGGUUUUAUGAACUUUUUUGUCACAGUUAUUAAGUGAAUCGCUCUGUGAAGCAAAUCUGUCUUUCCCCAAUUACUUGUCAGAAACCCAGCUGAGAAAAGUUGCAAGUGGCAGUCACACGAUCUUUGGAUGCUGCAAUCACCGUAAAUAGAUGACAGCUGCCAAGAGCCCAAAUUUUGAUCAUGUGAGCUUGGAGAUGCUAUGAGGAUCGUAAAGUCCUACAGGUCAUGGUUGUCCCAAAGAUGAUUUUUCCAAAAGGCAACUGGAUUGUUGUGGUCCGCCAGCAGCCUGCGGAGCUGGCAGCGGAGUCGGACAGCGAUAGGCUGAGGAAGAACAUGGGCCAGUCCUGGAGGCUGCGGAAGGCCGGAUGAGGGCUCUGUAUCGGAGGCAGAGAUGGGACCAGGGCCAUCGGGAGUGAUGUGCGGACUUUGGAGCCUCCAGAGGCUGACAGUAGAGAGGCAGAGGAACAGGAGGAGCCUGUUCCUAGUGCACGUAUGAGUAGAGCUGCCAGAAGGCAGGAGCAGCUAAAGCAGAGAGGACGACUCGGGAGUAGGGCCAAGAGAUGAUUGGCCCCUCCCAUAAGGCUUAAAAGGCCAGCAACGGCUCUUGGCCUCUUUGCCAGAAAACAACAUUGAGAGAAUUGCUUCUUGUUUCACUGUAUUCAUUUCUUGUCUGCAUCUUCUGCUUCUGAACUUUUGCCAAGAAAAGCCUUUGGCAGUUUGCCUAAUUAUCCCAAGGUCGGUGAUAAACUGAGGAAUGGUGUUUUGAAGAAUUUGCUUUCAUUUAGUUUGGACUACGCUGAGAAUGAGUUAAUUCUCAGCUGUUCUAAUAAAGUCUGUUUGUUUUCGAA